UUUUAUUCAGCUGUCUAGUUUAACUUCUAGCUGGGACUCUCUCUCUCUUCUCUAGAGAGAGAGAAUUCUCUCUUCUUGUCCCUCUUACCAGAAUCUAAUUUUUCAGAGGGAAGAUGAGAGAUUUGUUCUGGUUUUGAUGUAAGAUAAUUUCAAUCGAAAGAUUGAAUCUUUUACUUCGCUUUGGCGAUUUCUUUUUUCCUGUUGAGGAAUAAGCUUCGCUUUAUGCGAUCUUUUGUUGUGUAUCUUCAAAAUCGGGUUGGGUUGUUCUUCAUGUUUCUUCAAGUUUUAUCCUAUCCUAACCUGUUUUUGAAAUCAAAUAAAGUUAAUCUCUCCUCUUUCACAACAAAUUUCGAAUCCCGUAUGUUUUUGUGUUGGAAUCUUUUUCUCCAUAGAUCUCACUUACUCCUUUCUAAUUAGAGUCAAUCUCUACUUUUUUAUGUGAAGCCAAUGAUAGGCUUUUAGUAGAGUUUCUUUGAGGAAGGGAUGAUGUGGUGUUGGAUUUGCUCUCGGUGGAAUUAUAUAGAGAUUUAGAUAAGUCGGUAUCUCUUUGAUGGUCCGACAAAAAUCUCCCAUAGAUCCUCCGAGCUCUCCCCAAGUUUAUCAUCUAUUGGAGGCUGAGUUUUCAACCAUAAACAACGGUUUAAGUGGAAGAUGGAGUUCUAUUGGUACCAGAUCUUAAGUCUUGAAGAAACGACAUGAUAGGGGAACGAUUCAGGAGCAACACCGGUGGAGGAAGCUUGCAGCGGGCGGGUUCACCGCUUCCAGUGCGAAGGUCAUGCGUUUGGACGUGUGUCUUCUCGGAGCUCUUCUUGCGGACACGUGGAGGACACGAAGCUCUCACCGUUUUCUCUAUUAGGUUAUAAUGUCUUAGAGCAACCGCAACGGCGGUUUAUACUCAG
rnacentral:lncRNA from 1 species